ACUCUAUGCAUACAGCAUUACGGGGAGAAUACCCAUCCCUGGUCUGCCAAGGCAAGGUAUCUCUCAGAACUCCUACACCAUACCCAAAUGUGGGGGACUACAAGGGACGGACAGGGCUGUCACCACCUGCUGCCUACCCCUCAGAUUGUUGGGCACAGUCAUAUUCGAUGGAUCCUAAUGCGCUCAACCACCACACUCAUACACGUGAUCACUACUCUAUCCCCUCCGAAACCCCGAC
rnacentral:lncRNA from 1 species